GACGAACGCUGGCGGCGUGCUUAACACAUGCAAGUCGAACGGAAAGGCCCUGCUUUUGUUGGGUGCUCGAGUGGCGAACGGGUGAGUAACACGUGAGUAACCUGCCCUUGACUUUGGGAUAACUUCAGGAAACUGGGGCUAAUACCGGAUAGGAGCUCCUGCUGCAUGGUGGGGGUUGGAAAGUUUCGGCGGUUGGGGAUGGACUCGCGGCUUAUCAGCUUGUUGGUGGGGUAGUGGCUUACCAAGGCUUUGACGGGUAGCCGGCCUGAGAGGGUGACCGGCCACAUUGGGCCUGAGAUACGGCCCAGACUCCUACGGGAGGCAGCAGUGGGGAAUAUUGCACAAUGGGCGGAAGCCUGAUGCAGCAACGCCGCGUGCGGGAUGACGGCCUUCGGGUUGUAAACCGCUUUCGCCUGUGACGAAGCGUGAGUGACGGUAAUGGGUAAAGAAGCACCGGCUAACUACGUG
rnacentral:rRNA from 1 species